UGGGGCCCCUUCAGCUGUGGCUCUCAACAUCUCCCCCUCUCUGUUUAAACAACAAGCAUGUGGCUUAGGGACUGUGCCUGCCUUAGGUUGUCCAAUAGUACAGACAUUGUUUUAUAUUAAUUCUUUGGUUGUUGAGACUUCUUUUAUAGCCUAGGAUUUUUUUUUUUAAUCUCUAUGUGUGUUUCGUGGAAAAAUAAGAUUAUGUACCCCAUUUGUAUCAAAUGUAUGAUAUGUCAAGAUCAUUGUAAUGUUUUGAGCAACUAAUAAAAAAAUUUAAAAAAACUCUAUGUAUCUUUGAAAGGAAUCUCUACUGUCUCUUAGCUGAAUUUAGGAUUUGUGUGUGCAUGCAUGUGGGGAGGGGCACAUGUUUAAUGGGUGUGAAUGCACUUACUUAGAAGGUAGUUCAGCUUUGGUAGACAUGCCCAGCAAUUUUCCAGUGAUUGUUUUAAUUUCCCCUCCCAAUAGCUGGGCACGAGGGUUCCAAUAGCUCUGCAUCCUCACUAACACUGUGGAAGCCAGUCUUUUAUAACCUAAUAAAAGCAAUUUAGGAUUUGCUGUUGUGAAAAACGGCCAUAGAUGUUUAAAUGAAAGGGCGUGGCUGUGUUCUAAAACCUUUUUAUUUACAAAGUUGGUUUCAGCCUGAUUUUGCUUAGGGGCUGGGGCCUGCAGACCAGGGGCCAAGGUGCUCCUGGCACUAAUAUUCUGCUAACCUGUCUUUUGUUCACCUAGUCUCUUGUCAUCUUUUGGAUAGACAGACAGAUGAGAGACAGAUAUACAUAUAUUUUUUCUGAAUCACUUGAAUUAAACUGUCUGCUCUGGGACAAAGGGAAAUUCAAUGUUACAAGUGUUCAAUAUGAAGAGUUAGAAAAAUUAUGAGAGUAAACAUGUAUUAUUAAUCUUUUAAUCUAUUUUCCAUACUGGUGGGUGGAUUGAGGUAGCUCUUUAUGACUUCAAAUCACGUUUUCCAGAAUACUCUUUUCCAUUAGUUUAUUGGCCACUGUAUAUUCUCUUUGCUCAGUUCUUCAUCUAUUUUUACUCAUUUUCCUAAGGGUUUGACUUUUCCUUAUUGAUUGGCUGGAAUGUUUAUCGGUGUCGCAUUGCUACACAUUGUUGGCUUAAGAUUGCACUUAUUCUUUUGCUGUUUGCCUGGGUCAAGCAUCUGGGUGCAGUUUUGCUAGCUGCCUCUGGCUGAUUAGAAGGUUGUAGUCAAGUCCUGGGCCAGAGCUAUAUUCAUCCCAAAGCUUGACUGGGGUGGAAAGAUGGCUUCCAAGCUCAUUCAUGGUUGGCAGACUGCAGUUCCUGAGAGGCCACUGGACUGAGGGCCUUGGCUCCUCCCCACACCAUGUGACCUCUGUUUAGGAGACAGAGACAGAUGGAAAAGUUAAGGGAGUGGGAGAUGCUCCAGUGGUGGAGGGCUUGCCUAGUGUGCCUGGAGGGUUCCAUCCCUAGCACUGAAGAAAGAAAGAAAAACUAAGUUGAAUUCUUUCACUAUGAUUGUGGCUCUAUCUAUUUUUCCUUCAUUUUAAAAUCUAUUUUUUUGAAAGUAUUAUCAAAAUUCUCAUUGGCUCGCACGCACGCACGCACGCACGUUCAUUCUCCGUCCUCCUGCCCCUUUUCCAAAUACAGAUAUUGUUGAGAGCCACAGCCGAGUUGGGAUGGCACCUGGCAUUGCCAGAAGGAGUGGUUGAGAGGUGACGGGCAGCGAGCCAUUAAGAUGAUGAUAAUUAAGUUAAGCUGUGUAUAAUUGCUGUGACUGGAUGAUGCUGGAUUGGGGCAGGCUGUGUAUUCAGUUGCUGUCCAGCAAUAGGGGGGCUCCUGCUGCCUCGGGCGCCCGCUACUUUUGAGUUCCCAUUGAGUUCCCGCAGAGUUCGGAGCCUGGUGGAGAGCUGAGGGAGUUCCUGGGUGAGAGUACGGGUGAGAGUUUGGGCAAAAAAGUAGUUCCUGUUUGAACCUACAAGUGCCUCAUGGCGGCUCAGUUAUUUUGUGCCCAGCCAGACUGCAGCAGAUAUGUUUGGAUUAUAUUUUCCAUUUUAUCAUUUAUUUUCUAUUUAUCCUUUAUUGGUCCUAUGCUGUCCACGCUCUCAUUUCGUGUAUUCUUUGAUAUUCAUCAUCUAUUUCUUUUGUCUUUCUAUUCUCCACUAUUUACCACCCACAGGUAGGUUAGAUCUUUGUCUUUUUACUAGUGGUUACUUAUAGAGCACAUUCUUGACUCCUUCAAAUCUAAUAUAAAAUAAUACUUUUACCUUUUUCAUGGAAAAUAACAGAACUUUAGAGCACAUUAACUCCAUCUAUCCACUUCUGCCGUUUGUGUUUUGAUUGUCAUGCACUUAAAUUCUAUAUAUUUGAACCCUGUAAAAUAUUAUUAGCUCUGUACAGUCAAUGUUUGUAUGAAUUUACACAUUUCUGUUGCUUUUCAUUUCUUCCUGCAUGUAUGUGCGACCAUUUCCCUUCCACUUGAAAAACUUCCUGUAGUGUUUGUUUUAUAAUGGCAUUAAUAGUGACAAAUAUCUCCAUUUGUGUUGAUGUGGAAGUGUGUUGAUUUCACUUACUUUUGAAAAAAAAAUUGUCAAAUAUAAAACGAGGUUAACAGUUAUUUCCUUUCAUUGCUUGAAAAACGUCAUUCAUUUUCAUUACUUGAAAGCUUUCUAUUGUCUUCUGGCUUUCAACAUUUCUAGUGCAUCUCAUUAUUCUUUUUUUAUCAUUUUUCUUUUUCUCUCCCACUGAGAACAAAUAUGGGAAAAAAAUCUGCUUGAAGAUGUAAGAGUUAUCAAGACGUUGGAGAAUUAUAGGGUCAAGAUCUAGAAGAAAAAAGAAACACAGACAGCUGAGCUCAGUAUUUGUGGCUGCUUUCUCUUGGAGAUAUGUGUUGAUUUCAGAAGAGACAGGAAAGAAUCUGAGAAGAGUUAUAUACUGACUCAUGAAUCCUGGAGGACCAAAAGGAGAACUACGGACUGGCAAGGGUGGUAACUCUCCCCUAAGACUUUGGAUUGGAAUCAUGAAGAACUACAUCUUAGAAGGAAGGGUGAAUCAGAAAUAGACCACUUUUGAAUCAUCUCAUCUUUGAUCAGAUUAAGGUGAUCUGGGAUUGCUAAUGCCAUAGCCUAGCCUGUUAGCAACAAAUAUAAAUCUCCUUGGAGGAAUAUAACAUCAUACAAAACCUAAAAUUAUCUUAGCUAUCUUCACAUGUAAUGUUCCAUGUGUAAUUAAAAUUAACCUGUCACAAGAGGAGAAUACAGACCAUGGCCAAACAACAAAGACUCAAAAGAAAUAAUAAUAAAAUAGAAAUAAAUCUACAUAUUAUACCAAAUCAGAUAAGGUUAAAAAUGAUCAGGAAAUUUCUAAAAAGCCAAUGAAAUUUUUCACAUAUGACUGGAAAACAUAAAAAUGUACCUGAUAAUAAUUUCAGAAGUAAAAUAUAUAUAGAUAGAUAUAUAUA